AUUUUCUCCCGAAACUGAUCCACCCAGACCAAGUGGGCUUCAUUCCCAAUAGACAAGCCUACGACAACACAAGACGCACCUAUGACCUAAUCUGGACGGCCAACCACAGACGGAUCCCGACGCUACUACUAUCCCUAGACGCCGAAAAGGCAUUUGACAGGAUCCUCUGGCCAUAUUUAUUUGCGGUCCUGACGAGGUUCGGCUUCCCCAGGGCCCUAUUACAAGCAAUUCGCACCCUCUACACCAACCCAACAGCACGACUACUAAUACCAAAUGCCCGCCAAACCCCG